rnacentral:lncRNA from 1 species
GUUGCUUGUGCUUUUAGUGUUAUCUAAAAAUCAAUUACCAAAUCAAGAUCAUAAAGAGAUAUCCCUGUAUUCUUCUAAGAAUGUUAUAGUCUUAGCUCUUAGUGUUUGAGGCACUUUGACUUAAUUUCUGUAGAUGGUGUGAGAUAGGGGCCCAGUUGCACUCCUUUGGAUGUCGUUAUCUGGCACCAUUUGUUGAAAAUAUGAUUCUUUCCCCCACUGAAUGGUCUUGGCACCGUUGUUGAAAAUCAAUUGAUCAUCGAGGUAUGAGUUUAUUUCUGGACUCUCGAUUCUAUUCCAUUGAUUUAUGUCUCUCCUUAUGAGGUAGGAGGUGGGACUUGACUCCAGAGGCAGGGCUCGGACACUGGACCAAAUUGAGGACUAGCUGAAACAGGGCUGGGGUGGAAUGAGCUUUCCGUAAGACACGCUCAUCAGUUGCCAUGUCAGUUUACCGUUGCCAUCGCAACACCAGGGGGUUAUCCCCCGUCUCUUCCAUGGCAUUGACUCGAUGACCCAAAAGUUAUUACCCAUUCCCUAGAAAUUUUUGCACAAAUCACCCCUUAAUCUGCAUGUGUUUAAAGUAGAUAUAAAUGACUGCAAAACUGCCCUGAGCUGCUAGUCUCUGCCAGAGCCCUGCUGUGCAGGAGUAAUCAGAGUUGUAACAGGGCUGGAGCUAUAACACUGCCCCUUCAAUAAAGCUGUUUUCUUCUACCAUUGGCUUGGCCUUGAAUUCUUUCCUGGGCAAAGCCAAGAACCUCAUGGGCUAAGUCUCACUUUGGGGCUCACUUGUCCAACAUUACUUAUGCCAGGACCACACUGUUCUGAUUACUGUAGCUUUGUAGUAAGUUUUGAAACUGGAAAGCGUGAAUCCUCCAACUUUGUUCUUUUUCAAGAUUGUUUUGGCUAUUUGGAACCUCUUGCAAUUCCAUGUGAAUUUUGAGAUCAGCUUGUCCAUUUCUGCAAAAAAAAUGGCUCUUAAAAUUUUGACAAGUGGCCGGGUGCAGUGGCUCACCGUCAUUUUCAAAUUCUCAUCUAAAUGUUUCAUCCAGAAGGGUUGGAUACAAAAGGGAUGGAAGCAUUUCACAGAAGAAACAUUUUUAUACAAGUUGACUAGAAACACACAUCACAUCCAGGAAUUGGUCAGGAUGAAAUUCUAAAUUUUCUUCUUUUUUUUUGUUUGUUACCAGCUUAUAUAUCAAGAAAAGAAGCGGGGCACGAUUGCUCAUGCCUGUAAUGCUAGCACUUUGGGAGGCCGAGGAGGCCGGAUCACCUGAGGUUGGGAGUUUGAGACCAGCCUGGCCAACAGAGUGAAACCCCGACUCUACUAAAAAAAUACAAAAAUUAGCCAGACGUGGAGGCGCGGGCCUGUAGUCCUAGGUACUUGGGAGGCUGAGGCAGGACAAUUGCUUGAACCUGGGAGGUAGAGGUUGCAGUGAGUCAAGAUGGCGCUACUGCACUCCAGCCUGGGCAACAGAGUGAGACCCUGUCUCAAAACAAACAAACAAACAAACAAACGAACAAACAAACAACAGAAAUCCUAAAUUUUCAAAAUGUUUUUCUAUAACCUCUUUCCCGAUCAUCAUCCAAUGAACUUCCUGCAAAAGCUCAAUCCCUUUCUGGGGACCGCUGCAUCAGUAAUCAAACUGCCUUCCUAAGGUGUGUGUUGUAGCAGGAGAGAAGUGGGGAAGUAGAGUCAGGCUACAGGCCACAGUUGCAACCUACAACUAAUCCAGAAAGUUGAGCACAAGGCAACAGAAAUGAGGCGUCUCCCAAGUGUCCAACCUGUCAGAAGCAGCCAGAGGGGUCACAGUCCCUGAGAGGUGCCCUCCUUGAACUUACAGCUUUUGGCAGGAAUCACAGGUUAGAAAUACAUUCGAUGGCCAGGCGCGGUGGCUCAUGCCUGCAAUCCCAG